UGAGUGUGCGUUUCCGGCACGGCGUCGGUUCUCUCUGGGGUUACACAUGUUACUUUGCGGGGUUAGGGAGUGGGGCUUUUUUUUCGGCUGAUUUUUAAAUAUGAUCAGAAGAGGGACGGGGCCAUGAGAAUUAGGAAGGUCCGAUGAUUUUGAGGUGAACCCCCUACGUCAGUGAUUAAUAUUGGGUUGAUGCCGGAAAUGGUUAACUAGCUAUGAUGGAGAAGAGGGGUAGAUAAUAAAGUGCCAGCAUCUGCGGUUAAACUUUGACUCCGAAUUGAUGCAAUCUUGUGGUGUAGUGCGGGUGAUUUAGAGGUGGGUUUCUUUUCUAUGUCGGUGAAAUGAGUAGAGAUAGAUGUUUUGUUUUACCUUAAUUCUGGAACUAGGAAGGCUGUUUGUUAGACGGGGAUUAGAUACCCCCUUAUUUAUGCUGUCAUGUUUGGCCAUAGGGAGUACGAGUUUUUGCUUAAAAUCUAAGGAAGUUGGCGGUGACCUUAUAUCAGGUGAGGGGAACUUGGCGGUUAAUUCGAUAAUCCUCGAAAACCUUACCCUUUGUUUUCUUAGUCUACCGCCGUUGUCAGUAUCUUUUUCGGUAAAACAGAUGGAUGCUAGGGACAUUAGACAGGGAGAAGGUUUUUUUUGUCGGUCUGUCCGAAUUCAGGUAAAGGUGCUGGUCUUCAAAGGGGCUUAGCUGAGUUACAAUUAUAAAAUAAUCAUGAAAGUAGGAUUGAAAUAGUCUUAUUGAAGGUGUACUUCAUUGUAAUGUUUUUCAUUCAGGAAACGUGAACGGGCUCUGGGUUGUGUACAAAUCGCCCGGCACCCCUGUAUAGAAAAAUCUGGGUAAGUCGUAACAUAGUAAUGCUACCACAAGGUGGUUUUGCAGAG
rnacentral:ncRNA from 1 species